UACGUAGGGUGCGAGCGUUAAUCGGAAUUACUGGGCGUAAAGCGUGCGCAGGCGGUGAUGUAAGACCGAUGUGAAAUCCCCGGGCUUAACCUGGGAACUGCAUUGGUGACUGCAUUGCUGGAGUAUGGCAGAGGGGGGUGGAAUUCCGCGUGUAGCAGUGAAAUGCGUAGAUAUGCGGAGGAACACCGAUGGCGAAGGCAAUCCCCUGGACCUGUACUGACGCUCAUGCACGAAAGCGUGGGGAGCAAACGAGG
rnacentral:rRNA from 1 species